GGGGUUGUGGCUCAGAGGUAGAGUGCUCACUUAGCAUGUGUGAGGCACUGGGUUCAAAUCCUCAGCACCA
rnacentral:tRNA from 1 species